UGAAAGGAAAGACUGUGCUGAAGGCUCUGUUUCCCGGAGAAAGCCGUGGUUCUGUUCCAGCCAUGGCUGCAGGAAGGGAGGAGAUGCCAGGCACAGUCACAGGAGGUGAGCGUGCUUGGGAGGCUUCUCAAGUAGCUUGGCUUCAUGAAGAUUUGCAGCCUCUGNGCACCUGCUCCUUUCCUUCAUCAGGGGCUGGCACAGAACCAUUGCUUCCUCUAGGAUAUGCCAGCAUCUGCGCAUUAUUUUGCUUCAUCGCUUGAGAAAGAAAAAUGGACAUCGGGAUCAGAUGGAACCAUUCCCAUUCAGGGAGGUGGCAUGUUCAGGAGAAAUAGCUCGUGUAAAUCAUGGAUAAGAAUUAGAAAAAGACCCAGGCUCUUGGGGCUGUGAAAUGGCUCUCUCUUGUCCCAACCACCACCUCUUCUGAUCUACUCCGAGACCAGGAAAUUUCAGGGG
rnacentral:lncRNA from 12 species